UUUCAAGAAUUGAAAACCAUGUA
rnacentral:snRNA from 1 species